AAGUCAUAUAGUACCUCCUCAGCCAGUCAUGAAGUCAGCAAGUCAUAAAGAGGAGACUCAAUAUAUCUGCUGAUUAAGCACACCACCUUAUCAACAUGAAUAAUGCUCCAUCCCACAGCCAUAUCUUCCAGUUUUCCCAUAUUUUUUUCAGAUUUAUAUGACUCUCAUCAUAGCAAAUACUCAAAGUGAGGAAUUUCCAACUGGAACACAUUGAAAAUAAAAAGGAAAUAACCUACCA
rnacentral:lncRNA from 1 species